UACGUAGGGUGCGAGCGUUGCCCGGAUUUAUUGGGCGUAAAGGGCGCGCAGGCGGCUACGCACGUCCGUUGUGAAAUCGCUCGGCUCAACUGGGCGGGGGUCAGCGGAUACGGCGUAGCUGGAGCAAGCUAGGGGGCAAUGGAAUUCCCGGUGUAGUGGUGGAAUGCGUAGAUAUCGGGAGGAACACCAGUGGCGAAGGCGGUUGCCUGGAGCUUUGCUGACGCUGAGGCGCGAAAGCGUGGGG
rnacentral:rRNA from 1 species